UACGUAGGGGGGCUAGCGUUAUCCGGAAUUAUUGGGCGUAAAGAGCUCGUAGGCGGUUUGUCGCGUCUGCCGUGAAAGUCCGGGGCUCAACUCCGGAUCUGCGGUGGGUACGGGCAGACUAGAGUGAUGUAGGGGAGACUGGAAUUCCCGGUGUAGCGGUGAAAUGCGCAGAUAUCGGGAGGAACACCAAUUGCGAAGGCAGCUCGCUGGGACGGUACUGACGCUGGAGGCGCGAAAGCGUGGGGAGCAAACAGG
rnacentral:rRNA from 1 species